rnacentral:tRNA from 1 species
GUCCGCGUGGAUUAAAGGAUAAGGAUUCUGACUUUGAUCAGAAGACUGUAGGUUCGAAUCCUGUCGCGGACG